AAAAGAAAACUAAAACAAAGAAACUAACAAACAAACAAACAAAUAUAAAAUAAAACUUAAAACAAAGAAAGAAAGAAACAAACAUCUAGCAAUAAAACAAAAAACAAAUAAAACAAUUGAAAAAAAUCCCCCAAGGAAAACCACCCAAUCUUACCCCCUUUCCCCUCCUGCCCCCCUUGACCUCGUGACCCCCUUGACCUCGUGACCCCCUUGACCUCCUCUUCUCUAGAAUAACCGAAGCCUGGUCAUGGGUUGGGUGUGGGUCAACGUCAUCCUGAUGGUCAUCAACAUCGGCCUCGCCAUUGCUCUCAUAGCCCUGGGAGAUAUUGCCAACGGAGUGUCGAAUCUCAUCAGCUGUGCUAUCAGUAUCUAUUUCAUCGUCGUAGUGUAUUCCUUCGCGAUGGUAGACCUCCAAGGCCCAGUGAACAUGGCUUAAGACGACAGGGAGGAAGAGGAGAUGGAGGCAAGCAGCAUGUGGCCGCAUAAGUGAUUCUGUCUGUGGAGGAAAGGUGACGCACGAAGAUAUAUUUGUUACUGUUUAGCACUGGUGCGUUGGAAAUUCAAGUUUUCUUGUUUUUUAUAUUUAGAAAUAGAAUUAGUGGAAAUAGUUGAUUGAUAGGAAUGAAGCGCGUUACGGAAAGGCAAGGAAAGAGGUAGACCGAGAAAGCUAUGAAUAGUUAGAGGUUUAGAAAUAAGACGAUGGUUUGACGAAAUUUAGGGUAAUGGCGUACACAAACGCGGCCCGAAUAAGAUCAAAUUGUAGUGAAAUACUGCUAAUCAAUACUUGAGUUAUAAGCUUUAACAUUGAAUUUGUACUGAAUUUAACAUUUCGUCUUUGGUAUGAUAUAAUAAAUAUGACAUUCCGAUCUAAAUAGCAA